UACGUAGGGUGCAAGCGUUGUCCGGAAUUAUUGGGCGUAAAGAGCUCGUAGGCGGUUUGUCGCGUCGGCUGUGAAAACCUGGGGCUCAACCCCGGGCCUGCAGCCGAUACGGGCAGACUAGAAUUCGGUAGGGGAGACUGGAAUUCCUGGUGUAGCGGUGAGAUGCGCAGAUAUCAGGAGGAACACCGGUGGCGAAGGCGGGUCUCUGGGCCGAUAUUGACGCUGAGGAGCGAAAGCGUGGGGAGCGAACAGG
rnacentral:rRNA from 1 species